rnacentral:sRNA from 1 species
UGUUAUUCUAAGGAAGAAUUAUUUUUGUUCGGUCUGUAAGGAAUGAAAGUAUUUAAACUUUUCGCCUUUGAUAUCUAAUUGAGCAAUAAUAGUAAUAAAAUGUGGACUCGAAUCCACGCAGGAGGAAACAAUUAUGCAACAAGGUACAGUAAAAUGGUUUAACGCAGAAAAAGGUUUCGGUUUCAUCGAAAUCGAAGGUGGAGAAGAUGUAUUCGUACAUUUCUCAGCUAUCCAAGGCGAAGGAUUUAAAUCUUUAGACGAAGGUCAAAAAGUAACGUUUGACACUGAACAAGGUCAACGUGGACUUCAAGCGACUAACGUCGUUAAAGCGUAAUAGCUUUGCUGAAAAAGAGCUCUCCUGAUGGAGGGCUCUUUUUU